rnacentral:lncRNA from 1 species
UUGGUGAGGCCAAACCCACCGAGAGUUCCACGCGGCCUUCGUUUGUGCCGACGAAGGUGCCCACAAGCUUCCUAGCUCCCUAAAGGUUAAAGUAGGAGCGAUACACGAACGUUACGAACAACGAAUAGGUUAAACAUUAACCAACUCAAGAAAAGGGUAAUAUCUCACCUAAGUGUAGAAAAUCCCUCUCAAGCUCCAAAUGGGAGUUAGAACCCUUCCAAUCCAACCUAAAGGAGGAUUCUAAACCGAUCAAUCGAGCUCCAAAAGCCCUAGGUCAAAAAUCCCCAAAAUAAAUCCUAAAUUCUCAUUUCUAGGGCUACAACAAGAAGACCAUCAAAACACAAAUCAAGAGAAGAGAAUAAGCUUCUAACCUCUUGAGAAGCCUCAAACCAAGCUCAAAGUCCACUAGGUAUGGAGAUUUUCCUCCAAACAAGCCUCAAACCUAAGAUCCAAGCUUCAACAAUGAUGGAAAAUGCUCUAGAAGACAAAAGAGAGCAAAACCACAUAAAAAUCAAGAAAAAGGAAGGUCAAAUCUAUGGAGAGGCAAAGAAGACUCACUCACCUUGUUUCCUCUGAGUUCUAGGCUCAGAAAACGAAAGGGGAGGCGUGGGUGGUAAUAUAGAAGGCCACAAUCGCAAAAACACCCCUGCAGUUCGAACCUUUCAGAUUCUGCCAAAGUGUACCGGUACAAGAAAAAGUGUACCGAUACAAAAUCCUGUACACGCAAACCCGAGGCUCGGGUUGGCAGGAAACAGUCUUCUGUACUGGUACAACCAUCAAAGUGUACCGGUACAAAAUGUGUUCCGGUACAACCAUCAAGGCUAUACCGGUACACAGCCCUGCUGAGGCUAAUCCGAGAGCAAACCAAAAAUCCCUCUUUUGGGUUUUGGUGCAAAAUUUUAAACCACAAAUCUCGGGAUACGAACCAUAGGUCGGAACACUGUCGACGACCCUCCAGAAUAUCUGAAAAAAUUCGGAACACGGAUCAAACACUCGAAUCUUGCCAUUUGCGAAAGUCCAGUGUGUUACAUUCUCCCCUCCUAAAAAGGAGUUCGUCUGCGAAACUGCGGGUCAACCACACAACAAACCCAUCUGAAGAGGAUGGAAGAAGCGCUCCAGCAAUGCCCCAAACAGACCAUGGAGGUCUCAAGUGUGCCGGAAAACUCCAAGGCACAAACACAACAAGAUCUUGCGACGCCAAGGCUUUGACAUAACACAACCCAAACUUUCGCAAAAGCUCCUUGAACUCAAGUCUUCACCGGAAGUUCCAUCUCCAAUCCGCACUUGUUCAACAAGUCCAUCAGUUGGUCCUCACGAACCCAAGUGUUUCCGAAAGCUGAAUUCCAAUUCUCACCUUUCUCGUCCAAGUCGAGGGUAAAGCCUUGCUCUGCUUCAAUUACUCUAGCAUAUAGGAUUCCAUCCAAAUACCCCUCAAGGUGGAUUCAAUGGUACUGUCCAAAGCAAGCGUCAGGGGGUUAAAUCCAUUACUCAUCUAUCAAAACACCAUCGGAGUGCUUAUCUGAUCAACACUCACCAAGGGGAGGUGAUGCAACAUCCGCUCAUCGGCUCAUAUUCCAACGAUGAUCCUUCAAAUCCAAGAUCAAGUCUCUUCUUGACAUGGCACAACUAAGUGCAAUUCAAUCCAAGGUUAAGUAUGGUGUACCCCUUCUAUCUCGUUGCUAUUUGCAACAUCCAUCGAUCCGUCCAAUCUUGCUUGGCACGAACGGUUCUAAACCAACAUCCAAGGUAGCCAACCUUUCAAUAGUAAUAGUAACCGCCGAAUCGUCCAACUCGCUCACCAAAGGUGAUCACUUGAUUCCUCAAUCGGCACGGCACUACGAUGCCUCCACAUCAAUCUCAAACUCACCACCCGGGAGUACCCUCAAAUCCUCUGCAAUACAUGGUCAGGGACCAAAGCUCAGGAGCUUCGUCAUUCCACUAAGAUCAUCAUCUUAGUCUCAACUCAAGUCCAAGUAAACUUUUUGUAAGCCUAAGCCAAAAGCUUAACUUCGAUAGAAUGUCUCAUACAUUAAUCAUUCAGUUGGUCCAGAAGAAUCAUUCAAAAUUCUCAUCCUCAAUGCUUUCCUUAGCAUCGGAUGCUCUAGGUGUUCAUAGUCACCGAGCCCAUCUCAAGUGAUAGAGAGGAAUCAAUCCACAAUUCAAUAAUAGUUCUCUAUCAAUGUCAUCUUAAUGUGACCAUCAACCAAAAAAUAUCAAUCCAAACAACUCUCUCACGCAAUUUCCAUCCCCAAGAUUUUGGUUCCUGGUGCGUAAACCAGGCAAGGGAAUAUAGCAACUUGGUAUCUUUCCCCCCCUCGAGUUUUCCAACCACUCGAUCUAACAGUGGGAGUUUCACACAUCAAUCACGUCAAUCUGCCCUACAGUCGGUCCUCGCAAUCCUUCGUAGGAGUACUCACAGCUAUCCGCGACCGGUUUCACAAAUCCAUCCAAAGGGCUUGGGAAUUAUCAUUCCACAAGUCCCUAACACUGGUGGAGUACCACAGGCUCAGGCAACAUCACAAUAAUUCUCGUGAUGUUCCAACCCAGCAUCAAAAUCUAUUUGAGGUACAGCCUCAAACUCCAACUCAUACGGUAGUACUCUGAUUACAUCAUAAUCUUAUCUAGUACCACCACAGCUCAAGGCUAAUUGAAAGAAUCAAUGAGCCUCUACAAUGGUCCAAACGCUAAUCGUGGUUCGAUUUAGGUCACGACAGCCGACAUACAGUUGAAAUGACCCAUCCGGUCCCACAACAUGUGGGGGUGUUUCUCCACGAAGCAAAACCCUAGGUACAAGAACCUUUCCGCCAAUUGAGUUCACACUUCGUGUCUCAAUCGGGAAACAACAACAACUCGAAAGACAUCCUCCAAUACGAGGAUUCUCGAUCAUCGAAUUCUAUCGGCCAACUAGGCCCCAAAACCUCCCAAAUUACUCGAUUUUAGGUAAGGGGACAGUCAUCGCAAUGCACGGAACUAAAUCCUCAAAUCGCACUAUUUCAUGCUCAAAAUCCUCAAGGCGAGUCAAGUCAGCUCGUAAUCCAAGAGUACUAGGUACCCACAACAACUCCACACCGAGUAAGGCCAAUACAUUUGUUGGCACACAAAACCAUCUCACAUGGUAGGGUGUUCGAAACGACACACCCAAUCAACCGAUCGUCCUACAAGCGUCGAAAAAGUUCAACGCUAAAAAAAUCCUCGGGUUGGGUCAUCACACACUCGGUGUAUCCUCGAUCUCACGAUCCAACACGUGGCAUUCCACAUUCCAAAGUCAAAGCUCGGACUACCAUCCUGACCAAACUCUGUCCUACCCGUAGGUACCGGGCCGUUGUCACACACAGCUGACUGCGCCUGCCCAUAGGGCCCAGGCUCCACAGUCCACAAACGGUCCAGGCACGGUCGUCUCCAAGCACUAUCUGGCGAACAGCCGAUCAAGGGAUGCAACUAAUGCAAUCAUUGUGAGAUCUGUAAAGCAUAGCGAAACAUGCUACCCGCAACCGCAAAUCACUCGCCUAGCUCAAAAGGAGCUACUCGCUGUCGCAAACAGCGAACCAACGGGAUGCCAUGCAACUCGGCAAAUAGCGGAUCAAAGAAUGGAUGCAAUACAUCAAUAUCAAACAAUGUACAGCUCGAAUGCUACAAAACAAACUGAUACCUGUAGUCUCAAACGCGGCCGCUGCCGCCUCCGCGAUGUGAGCUGCAGACAUGUGUCCGCUCGGGGCCUGUCCUUCCGUCUAUCUAUGGACAGGUGGCCUCCCGGCCUGAUAGUAAGCAGAAGGCGUCCUCUGGCUGGGACCCGGUAAAGCUGGUGCCGAUGCUGAAGAUGGUGCGGGUACUGAGCCCCUCGGGCAGCCCAACUGGAAGUGACCCUCCUGGCCAAGCGAGUAGCACCUGCCUCGACCCUGCGAGCACUGCUGUGGGUCAUGAAGACCACUGCAGAUCACGCAGCUCAGAGUCUGACGACGCUCAGAUCCUCCCUGCAGUGCAAAUGUGCCCCGUCCUCGCGACUGGCUCCUAUUCCUGGGAUGUCUCGGCGGCCUCCCAGAGUGUGUCUGACUCGCACCUUCAGCCGCGGGCCGUUUGCCCUUUCCUUUGUCCGAGCCUUCUCGACGCUCCUGCAAGUCCGCCGCGCCGCUCUCCACGAUGAGCGCGCAGUUUAUCACAUCUCGGUAAGUCUGAAGGUUGGAGGAUUGCACCAACCGAAAGAUCGACGGCCGAAGUCCCCGCUCGAAGAUGCGAGCCUUAUUCUCGUCGUCCUGCACAACAAAGGGCACACAGUGUAGAAGCCGAGAGAACUCUCUCUCGUACUCAGCCACAGUCCGAUCCCCCUGGCGCAUCUCGCGCAGAUCCUGCUCCAUCUUCCUCUUAACACUAACAGGGAAGUAAUGAUCCAAUAAGAGUUCCUUGAACCUCUCCUAAGAAAUUGCUGCUAGGUCGGUGUUGGGAUUAUCCUAGAUACCCAACCACCAGCUGUAGGCCUCGCCGUCCAAAUGGUGAGUGGCGAGCCAAGCUCUGUCUCUUUCUUCCACGAAAGUGUCGCGGAAUAAUUUCUCCAAGUGCAUCAACCACUUCUCAAUGAUCCAGUGGUCGGCUUUCUCUCCAUCAAAGAUCCUGGGAUCGCACCUCCUGAACUCGUUGAGGCGAUCCAUGAGCCGCUGCCGCUCUGCUCCCUCGACCAUCACGGGAAAAACCGCCGCUGCCACAGGCACCUGAGCUAGUGGUGCCGCAAAUACCUUCUCCCGAGGUGCUACCGCAGGUGCCGUUUGCAAAGUGCCUGUUAGGUCCUAUGUGUUGGCAAGUUUCGUGGGUCGAGUCGGAGUCUUGAAGAAGUCCGGAGCGGAGUAUUGAAGAUCGAAGAAUCCAAGACUUCGAAGAAUCGAAAAGGACGCAAAACACGUAAAACAUGAAUCACGAUGCUUAGGUAAGCUUUAAAUCAUGUUUAUGGUGAUUCAUACUUAAUUAUAGAUUUUAGAAUCAUGUUUUCAAGUUGUAAUUGAUUAGAAAGUUUCUAAGAGCUUGUAAAACUCGAAACAAUGCAUUUUCAGCGAAAAUUGCAUUGUUGUACCGGUACAAGGGUUUUCUGUCCAGGGUACAGCCAUCAGCGUUUGCGCAGAUCGUUUGAUGGUUGUUCCGGUACAACCAUCAUGGCUGUACCGGUACAAGCCCUGUUCCGGAACAAAAAGCAGUCUGUCCAGGGUACAGAAGUUUCGCAGAAAAAUCUUCCGUCAUGCUGUACCCUGGACAACUUUCCUUGUUCCGGUACAAGGUGCUGAUUUUGGAAAGAAACUUUCUAAUUCUACUCCGUUUUGAUUCUAAAGUUUAUAAAUAAGCUAGAGGGGUUCUCUAACGAAUUAAGCAUCACGAAAAUACGUAUUUGAGAAACCUUAGAGGCUCGGAUUUCAUCUAAAACCUAUUUUCUACAAAAAGCCUCUUUUAGAUCAAAUCGAGAUAUUGAAAUUUGAUAUUAAUAUGUCGAUUUGAUUUCCGCUUCGCUUGGAGUUCUAUUCCCUGGUUUUCUACGAUACUCCAAAGCGAAGGAUCACCAUAUUCAUGAUAUUCUUCAUGGUGGCGUCGUGGAUUCGGCGUAUUUGACGGCGGUUCGUGGAUUCGGAUCGUGGGCUCGUGGAUUCGAGUGGCGUCGUGGAUUCGGCGUGAUUGAAGCUUCGUGGAUUCGAAGUGGAGGCGUUCGUGGAUUCGGACGUGAGGGCGUGGACAACCCGGAGGGUAGCGCGAAGAUUCAUAGGAGGUUAAGAGAGGUUGAGUCCGUGGAGUCGGUAAUCACCUUGUAAUCUUUUCUCUUAGUGAAUUGUUUUUUCGCGUGUUGGUCCCGUGGGUUUUUCUCCAAGUUGGAGUUUUCCCACGUAAAUCUCGGUGUGCUUUUUAUUUUCCGCAUUUAUUUUUAUUGCAUCGAGAUUUGUGGUUUUUGGCCGUUCACCUAUUCACCCCCCUCUAGGUGAUAGAUACAAUCUAGAUAGAUCCUUGGGCUCCUCAAAACUUUCAAUUGGUAUCAGAGCGGGAUCUAGAUAAAUUGUUAUCUAAUGGCCGAAGGUGGUAACAUUAAUCGACCUCCGCUCUUCGACGGCACGAAUUAUGCCUAUUGGAAAGUUCGCAUGAGAGCUUUUCUAAUCGCAAUCGAUGAGCGGGUAUGGAAAGCUAUUGAAUUCGGAUGGAAACAUCCUACCGAAGUUGUCGAUGGUGCUACCGUCCCUAAACCACGAAACAAGUGGACUAAAGAUGAAAACGAGUCAUCUUCGUUUAACGGUAAAGGAAUUAAUGCUUUAUUCAAUGCUUUAUCGCAAACGGAGUUUACUCGGGUUUCGGCAUGCGAAACGGCCAAGGAAAUUUGGGAUACUCUACAAAUUACACAUGAGGGUACUAGUUUAGUAAAAAUUCAAAAGCUCCAAAUGUUGACUAGUCAAUUUGAUUCUAUUCGUAUGGAGGAGCAUGAAUCUUUUACCGAUUACUACACUAGGCUUCAAGAUAUCAUUAAUACAUGUGCUAAUUUGGGAGAGAAAAUUCCGGAUUCUAAAGUUGUUCGUAAAAUUCUUCGAACUCUUCCGGAACGUUUUCGGGCUAAAGUAGCCGCGAUCGAAACGGUCAAACAUCCGGACGAGAUGAAAGUAGAAGAAUUAGUAGGAGCUUUACAAACGUAUGAAAUGACUUUUCCUACUAAUCAAUCUUCUUCCAAGUCUUCUUCUAAAAGCACAGGUGUUGCAUUGAAAUCUACAAAGGAGAAGGACGAAGACUCGAGUUCCGAUGAUGACUUAUCAAUUGCGGACUUUGAACAACAAUUGGCGCUUCUCACGAAGAAGUUUCGUCGAAAUUUCCGGAACAAGAAUAGAUUGGACAAGGCUUCAUCGUCCAAGCGACAAUCUUUGUCUAAAUCAUCUUCAUCUUCAAAGUCUAAGGAUAAAAACCGUGCAAAGUCUUCAAAGGAAAAGGAUGUAUUUGAAGGCGAGAUCCAAUGCUUCAAGUGCAAAGGCUACGGCCACAUUGCGACGGAUUGUCCUUCAAAGAAGACGUAUAGACAAAAGGCUAUGCAAGCAAAGACGUGGGAUGAUUCAACAUCAAGUGAAUCAUCGUCAAGUGACGAAGAAAAGAAUGAUCAAAUUGCUCUAUUUGCUAAUACUCCCUCGUCGAAUGUUGUGUGUUUAUCCUCUAUUGCUACUAACUCCAAUAUUUCUCUUUCUUCACAUGAUUCAUCGAGCAACAAUGGCGAAAGUGAGGAGGAAUCAAACGACGACGACAUAGCGGAAGCGUACAAUCAACUUCUCAUUGAAUCAAAGAAGAUGGCUAAACUCAACAAGAAGUUGAGACGUCGUUUGUUGGAACUUGAGGAGGAGAACAACAACGUAAAGAGUUUGAAUAAGGCUCUUGAGGAGGAAAGAGAUUCAAGUUUGAAGAUUAAUUCGGACCUCCAAGAGAAGCUUAAUGAUGCGGAAUCAACGAUCAAAUCUUCUAACGACAAGAUUGGAUUUUUGGAGCAUCAAUUUCAUGAAUCGCACAAGUCCAAUCAAGUCUUGACCGAUCAAGUUCGUCAACUCCAAUCCGAUCUUCAACAAUUUUCUUCGGGAUCAAAGAAGUUGGACAAAAUGCUUGGAUUGGGUCAAACGAGCAAAUUGGGCCUUGGAUAUGAACGGACAUAUGUUGAGAAGGAUCAAACGGCGACAUCUAAACUCUCAACAACUUUGAAAGGCAAAGUGUGUCAUCGAUGUGGCAUCAAAGGACACAUCAAAAGGAAUUGCCCAAACAAAGACAAGAAGAAUCAAUCGGCAACUUCUAAUCGUCAAGUGGCACCCUCUACUACUCGACAUCCCCCACGGAAUCAAAAGCAAAGUCAAGUUAGUCGAGUAUCUCAAAAGAAUCGGAUUUCUAAUGCUCAACGCCAAGUUCAUGCAAACCGGGUGCAUAAACCUCAACGACAAAUACAACCUAAGCCUCAACCGAAGAAAACAUCAACGGUUGAUCAAAAGUCUAAACAAACGGCACCUAACGUCGACAAGUCGAGAAAACCAACGAUCCGACAAGUUUGGAUCCGGAAAGGUGAUAUCUUUCCUUGCUCCUCGUCUUAGUCAUUUUUGAUCUUUAGUGUAAUGCUUUGAUUGGUGCUUGUUGUUUAAUUUUAUUCAUUGCAUUACAUGUUUGAAUGAUUUUUGGUGCAUUGAAUUUUUGUUUAUUUAAAAAUCAUUUUGAGGAAGAGGUGUUUGGGAAUUUCAAAAUCUUUGAGAAAGGAGAUGAUUGAGAAUCGUUUUUUGGAGAGAAAUUUUUUAAAGAUUGUUUAAACGGGUUUUAUCUUCACAAUCAUAUUAAGUUAAAUUCAUAUUAAUUAUCGUCUUUACUCCACUAUUUAUUAUUUUGACGAUAAUUUAUUAUAUGAUUUCUUAUUGCAUAAAUUCAUCAAAAUUUUGAAAUCAAAUUUGAUUUUUUGGUGAUUAAUUCAUCUUGGUUGUGAGUGUUGGAUAUGAUGAAUGGAUAUUCUCUAAUUGACUAAAAUUCGUCAAAAUUAUUUUCAACUGUGAGAUUGUCUAAUUUAGGGGGAGUUUGAAAUUGUUUAAAAAUAAAAAAAAGGAGAAAAAGAAACUCCUAUGUUUAAAAGAUGUGGAAAGAGUUACAUCCAAAAGGAGUGUGAAAACUACCACCACAUGUAGGAAAGAGCUACCACCCCGGUCGUCCGGCAAGUGUGUGAAGCUACCACAUGGAAUUUAAUUGAAAAAGCCGAAAAAGGUUGGAAAAAUAUAAAUAUUUUAGAAUUUUCGGAGUAAUAAGGUGCUAGUUUGAAAAAGAUGCUCAAAGAGCCACCCCCGGUGCCAUAUUAGUUAAAUCUCUAUUUUGAAUGUAUUGCAACAAAUUGGUGUCAAUUUUGUUGAAUUUCUAAAAAUCAUUUUUCAUCAACUUACAUCUUGAUGUUUUUGAAUCAUUAAAUUAUUUUUGAUUUUGAAAUUUUGAUGUUUUGAUGUGUUUUGAAAUUUUAUAAUAUCUUAUUUUCAUUACAAUGAUUUUUGGAGUAAAAGCCUUAACUAUAUGAAUUUAAUUUAAAUGUGAUGGAUUUUUAAAGUAUAUUUUUCGAAAAUUUUUUUUUCACAUUUUGGUCCUUGUACCGGAACAAGAACCCGUGUACCGGUACAAGGUCUGCGGCCGAGCGAAAUAUAACCGGGUAUAACGCUUCGAUCUUUCUCAAAACUCAAUCGUUUUCCAAAAUUUUUGGUUCUGUGAGCUCCAGAGACUCUCCUUCAUUCGUUCUACACAUUUUUCCUGUGGAUUUGUAAGUUUUUAGCAUCAAAUUUGUGAGUUUUAUCCCGAUUUUGCUAUUUUCACUGUUUUUGCGGGAUAAGGGUUUGAUCUCUGUUCUAAUCCGUUUUUGAUGCAAUUUUUUGCUAUAGAUCAGUGUCUUAGGCUAUUACCUUGCUUGUAGAACACUUGAACAACAUCAAAACAAGUUAUUUUUCGCUGAUCUAAAAUUUAUGUUCUAAUGUGCAUGUAAUUUCGGGAUUUUUCAAAAAGUUCGAUUUUUGCUGAAAUAUUUUGCAUGAUCUGGUUAGAAAUAGCUUUUGUAUGCAUUCUAAUGUAAUUAGAAAUUUUUUCGCUAUUUUUACAGAUUUUUUCCAGAAAUUAUGUUCAUGUAUGCAAUUUUUGAUAUAGGAAAAUGGCAUUUUUGCUCGUACUGGUGCUUUUGGUGCUCAUGGCUGGGAGACGAAGCCGUGGUAGUGGUAGAGGUCGUCAUGGGGUUUCUAAAAGGACACGUACCACUGAAGAAGCGUCCGGGUCUGAUCCGGAUUAUCAGGAGAGCUCCUCUGAAGAAUCUGAAGAACCUAUUGCGCAACUUGACAAAGGCAAAGGUUUAGCUGGCGAAUCAUCUCACGGUGGUGGUUCUCGUACUCGUGAGGGACGUUCAAAACAAGCUGCAGAGGUUCCUCCAGCACGGCGAAGGUUGUUUGCAUCAAAGUCGUGCAUAGCUGAACGCUUUGUGAACUUCCAUGAUCUGAUUCGGGAGGUUCCUGAUUUUGGACGACUACUACAGCGCGCGCCUAUUGAGCCUGUUGGACGGGUCCCUGCGAAGGCUCCUUUCUGUGUAGAACUCAUUAGGGAGUUCUAUAUGAAUGGAAAGGUGCUUGCUGAAGAUGAUGAAACAGGCACUUUUAUCUUCGAGACUGUUGUGCGUCAGAGGAGAUUUCCAGUUACUCCCUAUGAUAUUGGAGAGAUCUUGGGGAUGCAUGUGGACACUUCAGGUCUUCUCUAUACUUCAGGAGGAUUUCAAGCAUCAACUCACCUGGAUAUCGUUCUUGGAGCUAUAUGCAAAGCCGGUGUUUACAUGACUCAUGGUUACAUUGAAUCCAAGGACUUAUUACCUGAGUAUCACUUGCUAUCCUUGGUUAUGAGCUACAAUGUUCAACCAACUAUCGGCACAAAGAGGAUCCGCUGGGAGAGAUUAGUGUUGCUAUAUCUACUUGGUCAUCCCGAGCAGGCUCGUGGGUUGAACAUCAACAUUCCAUUUCUGAUCUGGCAAAGGAUGAUUCACGUAAUUCAGGGUGCCACUCGACGGGAUCUACUACCAUUCCCUGUUCUGAUUACGAGGAUUCUUCAAGCAAAUGGAGUGGAUACAUCUUGUGACAAGUAUGAUGUUGGCCUUGGGCCUAUUGACUCAGUGACUUGGGCUAAGUCGGUUAGCACUCUCAAGUCAUUCCAUCAGACCAAAGGGCCACCUCCUGAAGCAUCUAGUCCAGCACCUCCACCGAGAGCAGCUUCUAGUUCUGCUCCUCCGCCUACAUCUCGAGGAAGUUAUGAUACUUCAUCUAGUUCGGGGGGAGCGACGACAUUGGAAUCAGUUAAGAAUGAUUUGCGAAAGUUAAAGAAGAAGGUGAACAACAUUGGAAGGAAAGUUGAGUCCGGCAUCAAAAAGUUUGAGUUAAGUAUCAAGAGAUUGAUGGAUAAGAUGGAGUGUCGACAUGACGAUAUUUGGGAACCUACUCCAUCUUCUGCUUCGUAUCAGCGGUCAUCUUCACGACAUCCUCUCAUUCAACCGUCUGGUGAUGCUCCUGAGGCUGGGGGUUCUGGAGCUGGUGCUGGAGAUGAUGAUGAUGAGGACACGGAGUGAUUUCUUCGUCAAGCUUAGUCUCUUUCUUUCACUGCAUUUGAUAUUUAGGACGAUGUUUUAGAUUUGCUUGCUUAUUUUUCUGUAGUGUGUUUUUACUUUCGUUUUAGGCCUGUAGCUAUGACUAAACUACUCUCAUAUUUUUCUAGUAUGUUUUCUCUUUCUAUUUGCUUUCUUUUGGCAAUUUUUGACAAAAAGGGGGAGAGCAUAGAUAAAGGGGGAGAGCGUGGAUAAACAGGCAUUGAACUAGAGCAGAGGAUGAUGAGUUCAAAAACAAAGGUGUGGAGAUAUGAACAAAGGAGGAGAAGGUAGAAGAAUUUAAUAAAAAUCUUUUUGGAAUGAAUUGUUUUGCAGGAAAUCAAGACUUCAAGACUCCUCGUUGCGUCUAAGUCAUAGAGUCUGUUUUAGAAGUUUUGAUGUAAUUUUGAGUUUCAAAUUGUAUUUGGAUUACACGCGAGGGGUUCGAUGUUUUGGUGAUGACAUUGAGCUUCGUUUUUUCUUUAAAUUGUAAUUUGUGAGUUUAUGUGUGUUUUGUCACGAAAUUGCCAAAGGGGGAGAUUGUUAGGUCCUAUGUGUUGGCAAGUUUCGUGGGUCGAGUCGGAGUCUUGAAGAAGUUCGGAGCGGAGUAUUGAAGAUCGAAGAAUCCAAGACUUCGAAGAAUCGGAAAGGACGCAAAACACGCAAAACUUGAAUCACGAUGCGUAGGUAAGUUUUAAAUCUUGUUUAUGGUGAUUCAUACUUAUUUAUAGAUCUUAGAAUCAUAUUUUCAAGUUGUAAUUGAUUAGAAAGUUUCUAAGAGCUUGUAAAACCCGAAACAAUGCAUUUUCAGCGAAAAUUGCAUUGUUGUACCGGUACAAGGGUUUUCUGUCCAGGGUACAGCCAUCAACGUUGCGCAGAAAGUUUGAUGGUUGUUCCGGUACAAGCUUCAUGCUGUACCGGUACAAGCCCUGUUCCGGAACAAGCUGAAGCUAUCCAGGGUACAGGAGCUUCGCAGAAAAAUCUUCCGUCAUGGUGUACCCUGGACAGCUUUCCUUGUUCCGGUACAAGGUGCUGAUUUUGGAAAGAAACUUUCUAAUCCUACUCUGUUUUGAUUCUAAAGUCUAUAAAUAAGCUAUAGGGGUUCUCUAACUGAUUAAGCAUCACGAAAAUACAUAUUUGAGAAACCCUAGAGGCUCGGAUUUCAUCAAAAACCUAUUUUCUACAAAAAGCCUCUUUUAGAUCAAAUCGAGAUAUUGAAAUUUGAUAUUAAUAUGUCGAUUUGAUCUCCGCUUUGCUUGGAGUUCUAUUCCCUGGUUUUCUACAAUACUCCAAAGCGAAGGAUCACCAUAUUCAUGAUAUUCUUCAUGGUGGCGUCGUGGAUUCGGCGUAUUUGACGGCGGUUCGUGGAUUCGGAUCGUGGGCUCGUGGAUUCGAGUGGCGUCGUGGAUUCGGCGUGAUUGAAGCUUCGUGGAUUCGAAGUGAAGGCGUUCGUGGAUUCGGACGUGAGGGCGUGGACAACCCGGAGGGUAACGCGAAGAUUCAUAGGAGGUUAAGAGAGGUAGAGUCCGUGGAGUCGGUAAUCACCUUGUAAUCUUUUCUCUUAGUGAAUUAUUUUUUCGCGUGUUGGUCCCGUGGAUUUUUCUCCAAGUUGGAGUUUUCCCACAUAAAUCUCGGUGUGUUUUUUAUUUUUCGCAUUUAUUUUUAUUGCAUCGAGAUUUGUGAUUUUUGGCCGUUCACCUAUUCACCCCCCUCUAGGUGAUAGAUACAAUCUAGAUAGAUCCUUGGGCUCCUCAAAACUUUCAGUGCCGAGUGCAGGGGACGACCCCCUGGGUGCAACCGUCUCUACCAGCGCUGGUGAUACAGGGACCUGAGUCUCCCUUGCAGCUGCCUGCUGAAGAUCCUCUAGGCGCUGCAUCCGUGCCUCCUGCUGGCGUGCCGCAUCUGCAUGCUGUCGAGCCGCCGCCACCUGCUAUGUCACCAAGUCAGUGAGGGUCAUAAGUUGGCUCCUCAACUCACGAACCUCGCCGGAUCCGGAGGUAGCGGAUGUCUCCGUCUCUCGAAGGUUGCCGCGUCGUCUGCUCCAACAGACUUAGAGCGUGCAGUCGGCAUCAAUACAUCAACAUCACAAAAACACAAGUUAAUAAAACCCACGCUAUCGCAACCCCGCUCAAAUACCAAUGCCCAAAUCAUGUGUAAGGAAGUGUCUUAUACUACUAACUCCCGAUGUUACGUUGUCGGCCGCCAACAUAACUCUCCGCGAAGUUAGAAGCCAUACACUUCAAUCGAACUCCAACUUUUUGGAGUUAUCAAAGAAAUCCAAUUAUGAUACUUUCGCUUACAAAUCAAAUAGAUCUCGUCUCUCACGAGUCUAAUUCCUAUAGUCUUACCGGCCUAAGGUUCAAUAGGUCCACUAAGACUCAACCCUAGGCUCUGAUACCAAAUUAAUCUGUCACACCCCGUGACCCGGCAUGGGCCCGCCCGGUGUGUGCCUAGACCCGCCAUAUGCCUCCACAUAUAAGGCGUCUACAACAAAAGCGAUAAAUAACUCAUGAUACAAACAUCUAGAGAUAUCAGAGCGAGUAUACAACUAAGUUCUAACAACAAGUAGAGUCGAAAGAGAACUAAACCACUAAAACAUAGAGUAAACUAAUACAUCAUAAAUCUCAAGAUACAAAAUAGGGUGGUCUCUAUAACUAGACACAAAACUCUCACAACCUCUCCAAAAAAAAACAAAAGAGAGGUAAACCACCUAUCACCAAGUCCCUCGAUGGCUAACUCGAGACGAAACCUUUCCCGCGAUUCCGAGCCUCUCCCGAAGUGGAAGGCUCUGAAAGAAAACAUAAAACAGAGGGCGUGAGAACUAUAAUUUAUAGUUCCCAGUGGGCAAUUACUGACCUUAGCAAAAUGCACUACUAGGCCCAAAUCAAAAGCAGAUAUGGAUAACCGAAAUUAACUGCGGUAAAUAAAGCAUAUAGUAAAAUGCUAUUCUACUAUGCCAUAAGUAAUCGGGAUAUCAACAUGGAGUACAUCUACUCUACAUGAUCCAAAUAUGCCAAUGCAUAGCAAUUAUGUUCUACCAUGACUACCAAGUAUACUAUGAUGCAACAGGUAAUACUAUGAAGUAUACUAUAUGUCCCAAAAUCCAACACAUAUCUAGUAUGUACUAUCAUGGCAAUUAAGGGUGCUACAAUUCCCAAUGUCAACUGAAUCCAACUACGAUAUACAAUCAAGUAGUGUUUAUCACUUGUUGUUUACUGUUUUAGUCAAUGUCCACAUGACAUGUCACUACUUUAAGGUUCCAAUCUUGUAAGACCCGCCCGUAGGCUGUUUGGACUGAAGACCCACCCGUAGGCUGUCUGUCCUGCGCUGUGCCUAAUGGCCCCGUGGUAGUCAACAUCCCCACUCUAGGAUUGAGCCUCCCCCACGGCAUCCCACCUCGGCGCCCAAUCCCGCACGAGCGAGCAUGUGUCGCGAUGGCUAUCUCCGGAGUGCCGGCUUGUGGAGAGCGACCCUCACAAGCAUGUGCGAAUGAGCAUAAUUGGCAAGCAAGCAUAUAAGUCCGUCUCCAAUCCCAAGUCAUUAUGUCUAAAACAUGGAAUGUAGCAUAUGUCUCAGUGGCCUGUCACUAUGUCAUCAUGUAUAAAACAUGAAAAUACUCACUAGCAAGCCAUAGGUCUAGUCUAUACCUCAAGUGAAGGUUUACUAAGUUCACUAUGUCCAAUACCUCUUUAUAGCAUUAUCUCACUAUGUCCAAAAACAUUCCAAACUUAAUGCCGCUUUAUGACAUUAGCUUACUAAAUCCAUCUCUAGUCCAAGCCUAAUGCCGCUUUAUGAUAUUAGCUUACAAUGUACAUACACUCUAGCCUAUGUCACUCAAUGACAACAUGUCCAACCAUGCCAAGCAUGCGUUCUAAGUCCAAAAGUAUAAUCUACAUGUCAUAUGCACUACAUGCAACAUGAUCUCAAUCAAAUGUAAGAAUGCUAACCAUAUGCAAGGUUCCAAAUAUGAACAGUUCUCUACUACAUAGGGGUCCAAUGUACUUUAUACAUAACAUGCACAUAUUAAACAUUAUAAAACUCUCAAACAUUCUAUCCAGUAAGAAUAUGCAUAUAUUUUCAUUUUACGAAAAGUAAAAACCAUCAUAGGUAUGAUUUAUCCCAUUUUGGUGAGGCCAAACCCACCGAGAGUUCCACCCGGCCUUCGUUUGCGCUGACGAAGGUGCCCACAAGCUUCCUAACUCCCUAAAGGUUAAAGUAGGAGCGAUACACGAACGUUACGAACAACGAAUAGGUUAAACAUUAACCAACUCAAGAAAAGGGUAAUAUCUCACCUAAGUGUAGAAAAUCCCUCUCAAGCCCCAAAUGGGAGCUAAAACCCUUCCAAUCCAACCUAAAGAAAGGUUCUAAACCGAUCAAUCGAGCUCCAAAAGUCCUAGGUCAAAAAUCCCAAAAAUAAACCCUAAAUCCUCAUUUCUAGGGCUACAACAAGAAGACCAUCAAAACACAAAUCAAGAGGAGAGAAUAAGCUUCUAACCUCUUGAGAAGCCUGAAACCAAGCUCAAAGUCCACUAGGUAUAGAGAUCUUCCUCCAAACAAGCCUCAAACCCAAGAUCCAAGCUUCAACAAUGGUGGAAAAUGCUCUAGA